rnacentral:rRNA from 1 species
UACGGAGGGUGCAAGCGUUGCUCGGAAUUAUUGGGCGUAAAGGGCAGGUAGGUGGUCUCAUUUGUCUGGGGUGAAAGCCUUGAGCUUAACUCAAGAAGUGCCCCAGAAACGGUGAGACUAGAGUCCUGGAGAGGGUCGUGGAAUUCCCGGUGUAGCGGUGAAAUGCGUAGAGAUCGGGAGGAACACCAGAGGCGAAAGCGGCGACCUGGACAGGAACUGACACUCAACUGCGAAAGCGUGGGGAGCAAACAGG